rnacentral:misc_RNA from 1 species
UUGAUUGAUUCAAUAUUGACUCGGACGCACAGAGACAGGGUUUGACGGUCCACCGGGGGCCCCGACGCCCGAAGGCCGGGUCGCCCCCGAGGCAACAUGGUCGCAUAACAUGGGGUUGGAGGUCGGGCCGGACUACAUGGCCCUCGCUCGGUAAUGAUCCCUCCGCAGGUUCACCUACGGAGA